GGUUAAGCGACUAAGCGUACACGGUGGAUGCCCUGGCAGUCAGAGGCGAUGAAGGACGUGCUAAUCUGCGAUAAGCGUCGGUGAGGUGAUAUGAACCGUUAUAACCGGCGAUUUCCGAAUGGGGAAACCCAGUGUGUUUCGACACACUAUCAUUAACUGAAUCCAUAGGUUAAUGAGGCGAACCGGGGGAACUGAAACAUCUAAGUACCCCGAGGAAAAGAAAUCAACCGAGAUUCCCCCAGUAGCGGCGAGCGAACGGGGAGGAGCCCAGAGCCUGAAUCAGUGUGUGUGUUAGUGGAAGCGUCUGGAAAGGCGCGCGAUACAGGGUGACAGCCCCGUACACAAAAAUGCACAUAUUGUGAGCUCGAUGAGUAGGGCGGGACACGUGGUAUCCUGUCUGAAUAUGGGGGGACCAUCCUCCAAGGCUAAAUACUCCUGACUGACCGAUAGUGAACCAGUACCGUGAGGGAAAGGCGAAAAGAACCCCGGCGAGGGGAGUGAAAAAGAACCUGAAACCGUGUACGUACAAGCAGUGGGAGCCUCUUAAUGGGGUGACUGCGUACCUUUUGUAUAAUGGGUCAGCGACUUAUAUUCUGUAGCAAGGUUAACCGAAUAGGGGAGCCGAAGGGAAACCGAGUCUUAACUGGGCGUUAAGUUGCAGGGUAUAGACCCGAAACCCGGUGAUCUAGCCAUGGGCAGGUUGAAGGUUGGGUAACACUAACUGGAGGACCGAACCGACUAAUGUUGAAAAAUUAGCGGAUGACUUGUGGCUGGGGGUGAAAGGCCAAUCAAACCGGGAGAUAGCUGGUUCUCCCCGAAAGCUAUUUAGGUAGCGCCUCGUGAAUUCAUCUCCGG
rnacentral:rRNA from 1 species